rfam:Mesitornis unicolor contig39644, whole genome shotgun sequence.
CCAAAGGCUCUUUUAAGAGCCACCAAUGUUUUCAAGUGAAAGGGCU